rnacentral:rRNA from 1 species
GAAAGGUGUGCUAAUACCGGAUACGUCUCAUUUAAUAUCUUUUGAUGAGAGAAAGGUGGCCUCUUGAUUCAAAGCUACUGUGCGGGGAGGAGCUUGCGUACCAUUAGCUAGUUGGUAGGGUAACGGCCUACCAAGGCGAUGAUGGUUAGCGGGUCUGAGAGGAUGAUCCGCCACACUGGAACUGGAACACGGACCAGACUCCUACGGGAGGCAGCAGUGAGGAAUAUUGCGCAAUGGGGGCAACCCUGACGCAGCGACGCCGCGUGGAUGAUGAAGGCCUUCGGGUUGUAAAAUCCUGUCAGAUGGGAAGAAGUGGCAAUUGCUUAAUACGCAAUUGUUUUGACGGUACCAUCAAAGGAAGCACCGGCUAACUCCGUGCCAGCAGCCGCGGUAAUACGGAGGGUGCAAGCGUUGUUCGGAAUUACUGGGCGUAAAGCGCGCGUAGGCGGCUAUUCAAGUCAGAUGUGAAAGCCCGCGGCUCAACCGUGGAAGUGCAUUUGAAACUGGAUGGCUUGAGUACUGGAGGGGGUAGUGGAAUUCCCGGUGUAGAGGUGAAAUUCGUAGAUAUCGGGAGGAAUACCGGU